UACGGGGGGGGGCAAGCGUUGUUCGGAAUUACUGGGCGUAAAGGGCUCGUAGGCGGCGCGGUAAGUCGGGUGUGAAAUCUUGGAGCUUAACUCCGAAACUGCAUUCGAUACUGCCGUGCUUGAGGACUGGAGAGGAGACUGGAAUUUACGGUGUAGCGGUGAAAUGCGUAGAUAUCGUAAGGAAGACCAGUGGCGAAGGCGGGUCUCUGGACAGUUCCUGACGCUGAGGCACGAAGGCCAGGGGAGCAAACGGG
rnacentral:rRNA from 1 species